GCCCGCCCUGCUUCGUCUCAUUGCCACAACCCAAGGCGCUUGCUUCGUCACGCUUGAUUACUUGUGCUUUCAAUAACAUCAUGAAACUUUUUGGAGUUUUGUUGGUGGCACUAUGCCUGUGUGCCGCGGAGGCGUUCACCGUCUACACUGUGCCGCAGUCGCACGUCAGUCAGCGCGUGCUGGCCGAGCCUGGAAUAAGUCAGUUCCCCAGCAAAGCGGUGGCGUACAGCGCUGCUUUAGCGGUCCCUGUCCCGGCCCCGCAAGUCGUGUACUCUGAUCUGCCGACCGAGCGAAGGCAUACCGGUACUAAGGUCACUGUUCACUAUGAACCUAUCGAACAACAUGGUUACAUUGUUCGGUUCUAGUAGGGAGUCUGAUGUGUGUAAUAAGAAUAAUUUGUUUCUUUAAGCCGGAAAUGAAUAGCAGUCAAAUUUGAGUUGGAUGAAGAUAAAUAAAUGAACUGUGGUUUUUGGUCACUAUAUUCAUUGAAAAUUAUGUAUUUUUGCUUAUCUCAAUCUUAUGUGGAUGUAUAUUCAGAGGUUGAGAUUAAACCGUCAGCUCAAAUUCGCAACAUUCCAUUCCAUCUCAACGUAAUAAUUUUUGCGAUGAUUUUUUUAUUAUUUUUAUAGUCUAAUAUUAAGAAAAUCUUAUGCGCUCCAUUCAGAAUUAUUAUAACUUUAAAUUUCGCUCAAAGUUGAUUAUGUGACUAUUCAGUCGAAAAUUGAUGAGAGGUGUCGUAUCAUAGUUAUUUUAAGUAAAAUUUUCACUCACCAAUGUUUAUUGACAUUGUUUUCACUCACCAAUGUAAUUGGACCCUCCAAUUUUUCUAUGAUUCAGUUAAAUAUUGUGUGGCAUAGUUGUUCGUUUGAAGUGAGCAAAAUUUCCCAAUAGAAUAACAUUCUCUGGCAUUACAGUAUAUGUACAUACUUCCAAGGCCCGAAGAAACUUGCAAAUCGUAACUUUAAGAUUAUCAUGACGCAGUGUUUGUCUAUUCUAUUCAUCGGUUGCAUUUUGUCCGGGUGUGACUUCGUGAGAUGCAUUGAGACGAUCAAAUAAAAUAUUUAUGCACGUAUUAUGUGUGCAUAUUUUUGGCCAUGCUUAGCAACAUCGGAUGCCAAGCUACGAGUGGGACAUUAAACACAUUAGUUCUAUGUUAAGAACGAAUGAUUUCAUGUUGAUAGAAGUCUACAUAAAAAUUUAACGCAAUAAAUAUAACCUACUGAUUACCUUCACUCAUAGAUCAAAUUUUCUGCUACUAAAUUGAAACGAAUAUCUAUGUUUUUCUUGAUGGAAAAAUGGAAAUGCUGAAACCGGUCUACUUGAUUCGUAAGUUUAACCAAAACGAUAUCAGAUUAAAAUUUAGUGUCACAGGUUCAUACUUCAUGUUUCUUGUAGGAAUUUAUGUGAACAAUUAUGUUCGCACGACGCGAAAUUGGAAGUAGGAUAAUAUGAACAAUCUCAGUAUUCAUUGGACAUUAAUCAAGUUAAAUUACUUAGACAUCUCCUACCUACGUUUUUCCGAGGGAAAUAAGAAAAGUAAAAUGGCAGAAUACACGGUUCAAACCAUGUUUUCCAUAGUAUCAGCUGCCUUACUCCAUUGCGCUUGGCUUUCAAAAGGUAACCACCUCAGCGUCAAGUUCUCAACUGUUCUGAGUAUAGAGCAUUGUUCGCAUGAAUAAUGUAUACAUCAGUGAAUACGAAAUUAAUUAAAAUUUUUAGUCAAAAUUUUGAGGCCGAUAUGACAUCGUAGGUAAUUUUGCCUUUUUUGCACUACUUCUAUAUUAAUGAAGCAAUAAUAGCGGGAGAAACUUUAAAAGAUGCUCCAAAUUUUGAAGGCCUCUUGGAUUAAAAAGCUGGAAUGAAAUUUAUGAUUCCAUUAACUGCGCUAUUUUUACAUCUGAGUAUAUUGCCCACUGGGCUUAGAUAUUCAGGUACUUUAUUAAUCGAACGUAACAAAUUUCGUAGCACUGUUACGUGGAUGGUCGAAUUACGCAUGUAAGGGAGCUGCACUAGUAAAGAAUUGUAUUCCUUUUAUUACAACUAAAUUCUGACUUCAUCCUCAUAUGCGGUUCAUUAAAUUUAUAAAUCA
rnacentral:lncRNA from 1 species